rnacentral:rRNA from 1 species
GUCUAUGGCCAUAACACCCUGAACUUGCCCAAUCUCAUCUGAUCGUGGAAGCUAAGCAGGGUGAUGCUUGGUUAAUGCUUGGAUGGGUGACCUCCUGGGAAUACUGGGUGCUGUAGGCU